rnacentral:tRNA from 1 species
GGGGUUGUGGCUCAGAGGUAGAGUGCUUGCCUAGCAUGCAUGAGGCAUUGGGUUCGAUCCCCAGUACCA